CCUACGGGAGGCAGCAGUGAGGAAUAUUGGUCAAUGGACGAGAGUCUGAACCAGCCAAGUAGCGUGAAGGAUGACUGCCCUAUGGGUUGUAAACUUCUUUUAUAUGGGAAUAAAACGUUCCACGUGUGGGAUUUUGUAUGUACCAUAUGAAUAAGGAUCGGCUAACUCCGUGCCAGCAGCCGCGGUAAUACGGAGGAUCCGAGCGUUAUCCGGAUUUAUUGGGUUUAAAGGGAGCGUAGGCGGAUUGUUAAGUCAGUUGUGAAAGUUUGCGGCUCAACCGUAAAAUUGCAGUUGAAACUGGCAGUCUUGAGUACAGUAGAGGUGGGCGGAAUUCGUGGUGUAGCGGUGAAAUGCUUAGAUAUCACGAAGAACUCCGAUUGCGAAGGCAGUUCACUGGACUGCAACUGACACUGAGGCUCGAAAGUGUGGGUAUCAAACAGGAUUAGAUACCCGAGUAGUC
rnacentral:rRNA from 1 species